rnacentral:piRNA from 1 species
UCACUGAUCAACAGCACACUGGUUUGUCU